GAUGAACGCUGGCGGCGUGCUUAACACAUGCAAGUCGAGCGAGAAGUUUUGAACAGAUUCUUCGGAUGAAAUUUAAAAUGGAAAGCGGCGGACGGGUGAGUAACGCGUAGGCAACCUGCCCCAUACAAAGGGAUAGCAUUUGGAAACGAAUAUUGAUACCUUAUGAAACUUAACUAGUGCAUGCUAGGUAGGUCAAAGAUUUAUCGGUAUGGGAUGGGCCUGCGUCUGAUUAGCUAGUUGGUGAGGUAACGGCUCACCAAGGCGACGAUCAGUAGCCGACCUGAGAGGGUGAACGGCCACAUUGGAACUGAGACACGGUCCAAACUCCUACGGGAGGCAGCAGUGGGGAAUAUUGCACAAUGGGGGAAACCCUGAUGCAGCAACGCCGCGUGAACGAUGAAGGCCUUUGGGUCGUAAAGUUCUGUUCUAGGUGAUGAAAACUGACAGUAACCUAGGAGAAAGCCCCGGCUAACUCCGUG
rnacentral:rRNA from 1 species